GGAAAGGUUGCAACUCCAUGGUAGAGAAUCUGCCUUGCAAGCAGAAGGUCCCAGCUUCAAUCUCUAGCUUCUCCA